rnacentral:rRNA from 1 species
UACGAAGGGUGCAAGCGUUACUCGGAAUUACUGGGCGUAAAGCGCGUGUAGGCGGCUGAGUAAGUCUGCUCUGAAAGCCCGGGGCUCAACCCCGGGAGGCGGGUGGAUACUGCUCAGCUCGAGUCCGGAAGAGGAGUGUGGAAUUCCUGGUGUAGCGGUGAAAUGCGCAGAUAUCAGGAGGAACACCAAGUGGCGAAGGCGAC